GUUUAUGUGAAAAAAAACGCGAACAAAUUCACAAUGAUAUUGAAUUUAUUUCGUUUCUCAUGUAUUUUUCCAAAAUUAUGAUUAUAUUAUUUUUUCAGAAAAGAAUGGUCGGCCUUUACUACGAAUAUCUGGGACCGACCAUUCUGUCGGGGUUCGAAACUUACAAAUAUAGUUGUAAAGAUACUAGUCCACUCAGUCAGUAUGUAAUGCAUCCAUUCUGGAAUCAGGUUGUGAAGCUAUGUCCUGCCUGGGUAGCUCCGAACCUAUUGACCCUGGUCGGGUUUAUCUGCUGUGUCGGUCACUUUCUUCUACUCACAAUAUACGAUUACGAUUUCACCGCCGGCACAGCACCUCCAGAUAUAAGUGGACUUAAAGAUGUACCAGGAGGAACAGAAAUUCCAGGAUAUAUAUGGAUAUCAGUAGCUAUACUUCUAUUUCUUUCUCACACCUUGGACGGAAUAGACGGAAAACAGGCUCGUAGAACAGGAUCCUCAACACCUCUAGGCGAACUCUUCGAUCACGGGUUGGACUCCUGGGCAACAAUAUUUAUCACUGGAAGCCUGUACUCUGUAUUUGGACGGGAUCUAGACCUAUACAGUAUUACACCCUUCAGAAUGUUCUGCAUAAUGUGGAAUGUUUAUUUUUGUUUUCUCAUUUCUCAUUGGGAGAAAUAUAAUACUGGAGUUCUCUACCUACCCUGGGGAUAUGAUCUCUCUAUGCUGAUCAGCUUCUUGUUGUAUAUUGCCUCCGCAAUUGGAGGUCAAAUGAUGUGGAAGAUAAAAUUUCCUGGAGAUAUAUAUCCUGGUCCUAUCCUACAGUUUAUGGUUUAUUUUGGGAACCUUGGGAUGACUCUACCAACAGCUCUUUACAAUAUAUGGAAAUCAUACAAGGAGGGAACAGGAAAAAACCGACCCUUCUUAGAAGCUAUGCGUCCUCUGGUGUCCACUAGUCUUGCAAUGGGAUUCUGCUUCUUCUGGGUUCUCCGCUCUCCAAACUCUAUUGUGGAGAAGGACACAAGAUGUGUUUUCUACCUCACAGGGACAAUUUUUGCAAACAUCUGCUGUAAGCUGAUUAUUGCUCAGAUGUCUAGUACUCGCAGUGAGCUUCUGAGUGGCAUCCUGGUACCCGUUGGAGUUGGUUGUCUGGUAGGAGGGUUAGCAAACCUCUCGGAGAAUCAAGAACUUGCACUUCUUUACUCUUUAACAGUUGUGGUAACUUUGAUACAUCUACACUACGGAGUGUGCGUGGUGAGAGAGAUGUGCGGUCACUUCCGGAUCCACGCGUUCAGUAUAACCUCGAAACCUGCCGCUACCAAGAUCACGGAUAUUCAAAGGUUACUGGAGAGUGAUGAAGACAUUGUCUAGUUUUCUUUUUGUAGAUUUAGUUAAAUCCUGUAAUCUUGGUUUCUGUUUUCUUUCAAGCAUGUGUAUUUGUAUGUUUUAAACCUUGCUUUUCUUCUGUUUUGUUCCAAGCUUUUUAUCUUUUUGUUCUUGUCAAUCUUGUCAACAUUGUUCAAAAUAACGAAAUAUUCGAUACUUUCUUCUGUUCUGUUCCAAGCUUCUUAUCUUUUUGUUCUUGUCAAUCUUGUCAACAUUGUUCAAAAUAACGAAAUAUUCCAUACUUUCUUCGAAAAUUAAAUUAUCACUAACAAAUUAUGGCAAAAAAUGAAGCCUGCAUUUAUAUGUCCAAUUCACAACGAAACUCCAUUGAAACCUAAUAUAUCUUUUGACUAGUCCCGUUAUAUAACCCAGUAUAUGUAUUUAUAACAAUUUUUUUAUUUUUGUAGAAUAAAUUUUUUUGUUUUCUGA
rnacentral:misc_RNA from 1 species